rnacentral:rRNA from 1 species
UACGGACGGGGCAAGCGUUGUUCGGAAUCAUUGGGCGUAAAGGGCGCGUAGGUGGUUCUGUAUGUCUACCGUGAAAGCGUACGGCUCAACCGUAUUUUGUCGGUAGAAACUGCAGGACUUGAGGCUGGGAGGGGCUGGUGGAAUUCCCUGUGUAGCGGUGAAAUGCGUAGAGAUGGGGGAGAACACUCGUGGCGAAGGCGGCCAGCUAGACCAGUCCUGACGCUGAGGCGCGACAGCGUGGGGAGCAAACAGG